AUGUGAUCGUCUCUCGCAUAUCAAUAAGCGGAGGAAAAGAAACUAACAAGGAUUCCCCUAGUAACGGCGAGUGAAGCGGGAAGAGCUCAAAUUUGAAAUCUUAAAGGGUUUCCCUUUACGAAUUGUAGUUUAAAGAAGUGUUUUCUGUUGAGGUUUUGGUAAAAGUUCUUUGGAAUAGGACAUCAUAGAGGGUGAGAAUCCCGUAUUUGACCUUUACUUUCAACUUUGUGAUACACUUUCAAAGAGUCGGAUUGUUUGGGAAUGCAGUCCAAAAUGGGUGGUAAAUUUCAUCUAAAGCUAAAUAUUGGCGAGAGACCGAUAGCGAACAAGUACCGUGAGGGAAAGAUGAAAAGAACUUUGAAAAGAGAGUUAAACAGUACGUGAAAUUGUCAAAAGGGAAGCGUUUGACACCAGUGUUGUUUUUCUGAAAAUCAAUUAAAGAACUGUUUAUGCUAAGUUGUUUAGACUUUAUCAGCUAUCUGUUUAGUUUUGAGCUUUUCUUUAAUGCACUUUUCAGUUAACAAGUCAACAUCAAUUUCUUUUGCUGUAAAAAAGCUUGAGGAAGGUGGCUUGAGAUUCGUCUUAAGUGUUUAUAGCCUCUUGCCUAUGCAGUCGGAGAGAUUGAGGUCUGCAGCGUAGAUCCUUCGGGGCUAAAUGCAUUUGUGCUAAGUUAUAGCAUUUUAUAGACAACUUGUUGACUAUGAUUUGUCUUGUAGCUUACUCGCUUAUGUUAUUUUACCUACGCUUAGGAUGUUGAUAUGCAUGACUGAUAU
rnacentral:rRNA from 1 species